rnacentral:lncRNA from 1 species
CUUAUGUUUCCUCUGGGAGUGGUUUGUACUGGUUUAAACUGGUUUAUACUGGUCUAUACUGGUUUAUACUGGUUUAUACUGGUUUAAACUGGUUUGUACUGGUGCAGGUUCCUGGCCCCGGUGCUGGGGGCCCUGCGGGGGGGCCUGGGAGACCCCGACGGCGCCGUCAGGGGGGCGGCGGCGGCGGCGCUGAGGGAGCUGAGGGAGGAGCUGCAGGGGAGGGGGUUCAGCCCUGGCUGCCCCAGGUGAUUCCCAGGAUUUUGGGAGCUUUGGAGGCGUCGGAGCCGGAGCGGAGCCGGGAGCUGGCGCUGAGCGCGCUGCACGCGCUGGCCUGCAGCUCCGGCUCCCUGCACCUCCCCUCCCCCGCCCUGGCAGCCGUCACCGCCCUGGCCCGGGGGGGACCCCAGCAGUUACAGGCACUGGGUUUGUACUGGUUUGAACUGGUUUGGACUGGGAGGGGCUGGGAGGGGCUGGGAGGGGGAGAAAUGGGGGAAAAACGGGAAAAAUUGGG